rnacentral:rRNA from 1 species
AUGGACGCGAGCGUGGAUCGACGUCGCCGUUGUCCGCUCCUCUUCUGCUACUGCUCGGACGCGAACACAAAACUCAGUCGCCGCCGUCCGCUCCUCCUCGCCUCAAGGAUGCGAGCACAUGCCGCCGUCCGCCGGUUGCCGCUCUCCUCUGCCGCCUCAUGGAUGCAAGCGAGGGUCUCCGGCACCAUCGUCCGCUCCACCUCUGCUGCCCCACGGACAUGA